UUAGUUCUUUGUAAAGGGUGCUCGAAGAGUCGAGUUGUUUGGGAAUGCAGCUCUAAGUGGGUGGUAAAUUCCAUCUAAAGCUAAAUACAGGCGAGAGACCGAUAGCGAACAAGUACAGUGAUGGAAAGAUGAAAAGAACUUUGAAAAGAGAGUGAAAAAGUACGUGAAAUUGUUGAAAGGGAAGGGCAUUUGAUCAGACAUGGUGUUUUGCGCCCCUCGCUCCUUGUGGGUGGGGGACUCUCGCAGCUCACUGGGCCAGCAUCAGUUUUUGCGGCAGGACAAAACCUUGGGAAUGUAGCUGUGCGCCUCGGUGUACAGUGUUAUAGCUCUUGGGAAUACUGCCAGCGGGGACUGAGGACUGCGAUACUUGUUAUCUAGGAUGCUGGCAUAAUGGUUAUAUGCCGCCC
rnacentral:rRNA from 1 species